rnacentral:rRNA from 1 species
AUGGUUGAUCUGCUUGGGCGUGCUGGUCUCCUGAAUGAAGCCUACAGUAUGAUAGUAAGCAUGCCAGUGGAGCCUGACGCCGUCAUCUGGGGAGCCUUGCUCGGUGCCUGCAGCUUCCAUGGAAACGUAGAACUAGCGGAAACAGCAGUAAACAAACUCAUCUUUCUUGAGCCACAAAACACUGGAAAUCUGGUGAUCCUGUCAAACAUAUACGCGUCGUCUGGAAAAUGGGACGGUGUUGCCCAGGUAUGGAAGUUACUCAAGGAGAAAGACCACAAGAAAUCAGCUGGGUACAGCUUCAUAGAGCUAGAUGGCAGGAUGCACAAGUUCCUUGUUGAGGAUAAGUCACAUCCAAGAUUUGUGGAGGUGUACAGCACCCUUGACAGUGUCACAAUGCUCAUGAAGCUUGUCGGACUAGAAAAUGAGGAAGAAGCGGAACAGCUGUUUCUGUCACCUGUAGAGAUCUAA